rnacentral:rRNA from 1 species
GUCUACGGCCAUGCUACCCUGAACAAGCCUGAUCCUGUCUGAUCUUGGAAGCUAAGGAGGGUAGGGCCUGGUUAGUACUUAAAUGGGAGACCACCUAGGAAGACCAGGUGCUGUAGACA